GACGUGCUUUAUCAACUCAUCCAUGCCCAAAGUUAUGUUUUCCAUGAAGUUACAUUUGGAAAGAAGAGGUUUGGAAUGGAGAAUCUCAAUGUCAUUUUUAGUUAAAUUAACUGAAUGACAAUAAUUAUACGUAGGUUUCUUUGAUUAAUUGAUUAAUUAAUGUGAAGAGCUUGUUUGAAGAUGAGUUUGAAAUAGAAAAAAGGAGUAACUUCAGAUAAAUCAAAAAUUUUCCCCCAAUAACGAAGUAAGAAUUAAGCAUAAAUCCAUAUGAGAAUGUUUAGAAGUGUCGGUGUAUAAGCAGAAGUGAUUGACAUCCUAAGUGCUUCAUAUGUUGAAUGAGAUUUCAAAACUCAGAAAAACCAU
rnacentral:misc_RNA from 1 species